GACGAACGCUGGCGGCGUGCUUAACACAUGCAAGUCGAACGGUAAGGCCCUUCGGGGUACACGAGUGGCGAACGGGUGAGUAACACGUGGGUGAUCUGCCCUGCACUUCGGGAUAAGCCUGGGAAACUGGGUCUAAUACCGGAUAGGACUACUGCCUGCAUGGGUGGUGGUGGAAAGCUUUUGCGGUGUGGGAUGGGCCCGCGGCCUAUCAGCUUGUUGGGGGGGUGAUGGCCUACCAAGGCGACGACGGGUAGCCGGCCUGAGAGGGUGACCGGCCACACUGGGACUGAGAUACGGCCCAGACUCCUACGGGAGGCAGCAGUGGGGAAUAUUGCCCAAUGGGCGCAAGCCUGAUGCAGCGACGCCGCGUGAGGGAUGACGGCCUUCGGGUUGUAAACCUCUUUCAGCACCGACGAAGCGCAAGUGACGGUAGGUGCAGAAGAAGGACCGGCCAACUACGUGCCAGCCGCCGCAGUAA
rnacentral:rRNA from 1 species